rnacentral:lncRNA from 10 species
GUGUGACCUCACGCCGUCAUUAGUAACUCGGGCAGGGGAGGGAUUCGGGGAGGUCUCAUCAAUUUGGGCCUGAGGAAAAUUCAGGUGGAAGACAAUUAAAUAACUAACCACCUCCGCAAGGUGCAGAACUCAAACCCAAGUCUCCCUCCCACGCCCUGGGCUCCAGGGAAGCCCUUGGGUGUUGUUGUUGAAACAGGACGAGGCGUGACCCCGGGUCUGCGUUGUUUGGCGUGGGUUCUCACUAUGUUGCUUAAGCUGGUCCAGAACUCAAGCCAGUCUCUCACUUCAGCCUCUUGAGUCGUUGGGAUUACAGAAGCCACCAUGUCCAACUAGACAAGAUCUUGUUGCCCAGGCUGGUCUCAAACUCCUGCGUUCAAAUGAUACUCUCGCCUUGGCCUCCAAAAGUGUUGGGAUUGCAGACCUGAGCUACUAUGCCUGGCUGAAUUCUAUUUCUAUUGGAUUGGUUGUAAAGAAGUGCAUUGUAGCCUGCAAAGGAGCAGGGCCAGUGGGGUGGAGAGGGCAGAAGUGCUACAGAGGCCCCUGCUCUCCACUGCCCUGACUGCUACUGUGCUGGAUGCCGUGUGAACCACAGCUGCAUCUGGAGGCCUUGGGCAGCACCUAACAGGAAGCCAGAGUAGGUCCUCUGAAGGUGUUUGUUCAAUGAACUUGUCAUCCUCCUCAACUUAAAGCCUUUAGCCUGAGAACAGAAUGUAAAACCAAUGGAGGGCCCAGGAAGGCAAAUGGAAAAUGAUUAUUGAACAAGCUGAAAACUGCCAAAAAACAUAAACUCUCACUUUGAAACCAUCAUCUGACUGAAAUGGAGAACUGUAAAACUGAGAAUAAUGAUCCUAAAACAACCAAAGUAUAUGUACAAUGCGGAUGACCAGAGGAUAUCGCGAUAUCGAGAGAGGAAGGCCAGGAGGUCAUUUCGCCCUUUAGACAGAGGCUUUUCCAAUUUGGAGGCACAAAUAAGUGAGAACUUGGGGAUCCACUGAGGUCUGAGGCACGGUGGUACCAGAGGAGAUGAAGGGGCUUUCAGCAUGAAGCUGGUCCCCUGUCGACAGCACGCUGAUUUUCCCGUUGGGCUCUAUCAGCAUGUCCACUGUGAGACCAUGCUUGUGAAAAUACCAGGACGGUAAAUUAGUGAAUUCCAAAGUCAGGAUUUUUGUUGGAUCUGGCACAGUCACAGGAAAGUCUGAGUUUUCUCAAGGGCAUCCCUGUCUCACCGAGGGGCACCAAGGACAGACGACCAGAAGCAAAUGGCGCAGUCACCGUCAGAGGAGAGUAAAACUCAUUCUGAAACGGUUCCAAAUGCCCAUGCCUGCUCUGUGGUUUUCAGCAAAGCGGACCUUUCCAAAAGACCUCCAACAGGGACUUCCUGGAUGUGAGAACACUAACCAAUUCUCGUUCCUCUCAUCUUUUGCUUUAUUCCUUCCUUCCAUGCUGUUAUUGCGAAAAACUGGUAGUUAAAUUCAAUUGAUUCAAAAUAUUCGGGAUCCAUAUGGCCGCCAACCCUGGAGCUGAAGCGGCGAUAGCGCCUCACUGCUGUUUUCAAGCAUUUGCCUCUCCUCCAGUCCCCAGAUGGUGGGAGUAACAUUUAAACCUCCUUUUCUCUGCCUUGUACAAUAGACCUUGGCACCAUUUCAACUGUUUACUCCGGUAAUUAACAGCUCUGAUACCACAACAAUUACAACUCCUACACUCUCACCACAAUAAUGCUAUGAAUUAGUGAGAGCUAAUGGCUGGAAGGUAGAGUGUUUCCAGACUGUGGGAUCUGUGCAUUUUUAGAAUAAAAUAAAAGGUACAAACAGCACGCUUGCAGUAGACAAUGAUUACCUAGUAAUUAGUUUACACAAAGCUUCCUAUUUAAUGGCAAAACGCUGUAAUUAACGUGUGACAGAAAAUCAAAGGGUACUUUGUAAGCAUAUUAAAAAUUAACACUGCAGGCCCAUAGCUUUAUGUACUGAUUAGAAGCAUAUUAAAUCAAUAGGACACACAAACCAACAGCUUGGGUAGCUGAUUAUUAUAGGUCCUCAGAAGGGGUACCCUGGCUUUCAUUUCACUUGGGGAGGCAAUUUUCCUUCUCCUGUCAUCUUCCUCAGGCACAGAGAAACACCUCAAACUCAACCCUGGCAGCUUCAUGAAAAUAACCACUGAACUGGAAGAAAACAUUCUAAGUCAUUCUCAGAGAUGAAGACAAAUAUGUAAAUGAUUAAGACUUUCCAAUGAUUGUGGUGACGUGCUGCUACACUAAUUAGAAAAUACACCAACUGGAACCAGAAAAUAAAGCCACUGGGUUGCAAUCUUCCGGUCAGAAUAAUCUCUACUUUGUCAAGCCUCUUUAUUCAACUCAUAGAAAGUUCAAAUAAAUGGAACUGUUUUAUAUUUCUAAAUGAUAAGAAAGCAGGCUGCUAUGAAGACUUAUUCUUUCCAAGGCACUGUCUGGGUAAAGCAUAGGCUGGGAACAACUGGAUCAACCAACAUUCUGUAUCUUCAACAGCCACAACCCCAUAUAAUGAUGGCUGAUGGACAUAGACAGCAAUAUCCUGGAAGCCUACCAGAGCCUAAAGAACCUUCUGAAUCACCAAAGAAAGAUUAAGUUGUAUGUACUUGUUCAAUGUUACCUGUAUUUUGUUAUAAUACAAUUUUAUGGUAAUAAUAACAACAAUAAUAAUAGGUAGCAUUUCUUAAAGUCUUAUUAUGUGCUAAGCACACUGCUAGCCAAUUCAUAGAAUUAUCUCAUUUACUUGUCACCACUUCCCCAUGAGACAGGUACUAAUCUCUCUUUACAGAUAGAGAAAGGGAGACUUGGAGAGCUGAAGUAAUUUGCCUAUAGUUAUCCCCCAGGGAGCAUGGGAGUCUAACCUAGGUGUCCCUGGCUAUGGAACCCCAGGAAGCCAAACUACCUCUUAGUUACCCUGAAUGACUAGCCUGUUCCAACACUCAUUCUGCUUAAAAGGCAGUUUACUAUGUCAACCUGGAAUAGGAGACUAAAAAAAUUAAAACAAAAACAAAAUAUUUGGUUGCUUAUUUUUUUAAAAAACAGGGUGUUUCUGCUUUUAGAGAUAGGAGUCUUGUUCUGUCACCCAGGCUGGAGAGUGGUGGUGCAGUCAUGACUCAUUGCAGCCUCAAACUCCUGGGCUCGAGUGAUCCUCUUUCUUCAGGCUCCUAAGUAGCUGGAACUACAGGCACACACCUAAUUUUUAAAUUUUUUGUAGAGAUAGGGUCUCACUAUAUUGCCCAGGCUGGUCUUGAACUCCUGGCCUCAAGCCAACUCCCACCUCAGCCUUCCAAAGUGUUGGGAUUACAAAAUAUUACAGGAGUGAUCGACUGCACUGGGCUAAAAACAAGGGUUUUAAAUGCUUACCAUAUUUUUAAUGCUACAUCUGAUUGUGAAGGUGGGCUACUCAAAGCUUUUUGGGAAUUUACAGGCUCACUAAAAUGAUCACGAUAGUGUAUUAAAUUGAGAAAGGCAUUGAAAAUCUGUCAUUCCCAUGAACAACCAAAGGGUGAUGUCUAAAAUUCUCUCUCAUCACCCAUGCACAUAACCAGGUAUAUGAGGCAGUUGGGUUGCAAGAGCUGAAUCCUAGAAACUCCUAGGCAGGGCUCCUCCUCUCCAGCUCUGAGGUGUGUGUAUUGAUGGCCCCCUACACCUCCCAGUUUGCUGCCUUGUGGGAAAAGGAGACCAGCUCUUCUGUUAUCUAGGAAAGGGAAGAAAUUUGAGAGCAGUGGCCUCUGUGUUCCAGGAAUAUUUGCGUUUCCCACAAAUCUCUGGAAAGCAGAAAGCUUGCCACAAGGGCAGCACACGGUAUGAGUCACAAAGGCAAGGACCUGAGGGAGAACACUUCCCAGGACUUUCAAAUAAGGUCUUUCCUAAAUGUACUUGGCUCAGUGUGGCAAAAGCACUGGGCUAGCAGCAGUCAGAUGUGGGUUCAAAGCAAGGCACAAUCAUUUAUUAGCUAUAAAUUUGGGCAAGUCACUUCUUGAGAAUAAGUUUCUUCAUCUGUAAACAGAAGUAAUACCUUCCUUAUAUCUUAAAUUGGUGUGGAAGUAAAUGAGUAAAAACCUCAGGGUUUUUCUGAGUUUAAAUGAGACAAUUCAUGUAACGUGCUUAGCACAAUACCUGGUACCCAGUAGGUACUCUGCAGUAUUUAUUGAUGAUGAUGAUGAUGAUGAUGAUGAUGAUGAUGAUGACAAAGAAAUACAAGGAAAUGUCAACACCUUAACAGUGCAUUCAUAGAUCUACAAAAUGCUUAAUCUCAGUGUUCUGGCAACCACUAAAUACAUAAAGAUAAUCUAAGACAUCAAGAUUUCAACAUAUAAAAAUAAAUAUAAAAACAAGUGAACAAUAAUCAUUUAUAUGUAGUUUCAUGACUGGAAAAAAUAAUAACCUAGAUUUUUUCUUAACCUAGAAAAUCUAGAUUAAAAAAUAAAGAUCUUGCAUUUUUGAUAUAAAACACAAAUAAUAAGGACAUGAAAAAAGAAUAUCCCUUGCUAGUAAUCAAAUAAUAGCAAUGAGAAGCUGGAUUCUUAUAUCUAAAAUAAAAGUGCAAAUAGUUCAUAAUAUCCAUUGGUGGUAAGGUUGUGGUAAAACUAGUAUUCUUAUUCUCUGCCAGUUGCUUUGGAAAUUGGUACUAUCUUUUUAGGAAUAUGGCAAUAUGUAACAAAAGCCAUAAAAUAUUCUACUCCUGGGUCUUUCUCCUCGGGAAGUAACUCAACAGAAGCAAAAAGAGGUGUAUACAAAAACCAAAUAUAAAAACAAACAAAUCUUUCCUCCCUCUUUCCUCCCACUGCCAAAAAAUGAAAGCUGGGAAUAGCCUAAAUUUCCAACUUAGUUGAAUUGUUCAAUAUAUUAGAGUUCAUCAAUAUGAGAGAAUAUUAUGCAUCUAAUAAUUGUGACGACUAUGUAUAAACAUGGAAAAUAUUUAAGAUCUGAUGUUUAACUAGCAUAUACACUAUUAUUGUAGCUAUGAGAAAGAAAUACUGCAUAUUUAGAAAUUAAUAUACAAAAAUGAAAACAACUAUGUUUGGGGACAGUGAUUAUGUACUUUUAAAUUUUUUUUAAUCUUGUUAUCUUUAAACUUUUCUAAAAAUGAUGUGAUUACAAGCAAUGGCUCUUUGGGAUCACCUAAUAAAUACCUACUAAAUUCUAGACGGGACAACGAGCUCUGCCAUCCUGCAAUGGCUCCUGUGACCUAGUUCCAGGGCCAUUCUGAAUGGACAGAGGUCUUCACAAUGGAGGUGGAGAUGCAGGGAGCUCUAUGGCAUGAAAUGGUUAAUGAUUCUCUUUUGUAAUUGUGUUUUCUGUUUGCUGCCUUAGUUCUAAAAGGAGGCAAAACAACUGUGGUUUAUUCUACCUUUUCCAGGCAUAGUUCUUCUCCUACCUUUGUGAUCCCCAAAUUAAUAUCAAAUGUCUAAUUAGUUUUUUUCUCCAUUGGUGAUCCCCAAAUUAAUAUCAAAUGUCAGACAAAGUAAAUCAAAGUACAAAUAAAGGUAAAACUGCUCUUGCAAAGGGCUAAAAUAGCAAUGUUUACUAGAAGCAUUCAAGAGCCAGUUCAAUUUCCUAUUUCUCAUUAAGUGGUAAAAUAGUAAUGCCAAGACCACAUCCCAGAAUCUCCAGGGUAACAGAGGCCCAACGAAGGGCUGCAGAGAAACUUGAAAGUAAACUGGCUUAGUUCUUUACACACAGAAAUUGUUCUACAAAGAUCUCUUGCAAAGCAGUGUCACCAGUAGCAUCACUGCCACUAAGCCAAUGUCCCAGGAAUUGAGGAAAGGAAGACACCCUUAAAGAAAAAAAUGGAAAAAAGCCACAAGGACUGGUACCACAGUAAAUGUCUGCCUGGGUCUCCCUAAACUGUCUUAGGUGAGCUUACCCAGGAAUGUUUCUCCCCUACAUGUUUGCCUUCCUUUGUUUAAGCCUUUAUUCCUCCUAAAUGAAAAUAAAUACCCCCGACUGGGGAACGUGGAGUUUGGAGUGUGUGCAAGAGUGUGGAUUCAUUAAAACUUAACGAGCAGAGUACUUAAGUGAAUGAGUUUACUGGAACUUGUUGGGGGAAGUAGGUUUUGUUAGCUGGU